GGGCGGAUGGCGGAAUUGGUAGACGCACCACACUCAAAAUGUGGCGACUUCGGUUGUGCGAGUUCGAGUCUCGCUCCGCCCA
rfam:Phormidium tenue NIES-30 NIES-30_Scaffold_7, whole genome shotgun sequence.